AUUUCUCGGCCAUCCACCUUCACCUCCAUUGGAGGAAAUUCCCGGUGUAAAGUCACCUUUGCUAACGGAGAAGUCACCUGACAGGGCAGGACGGUGGGCCAGUUAGUGCGAAGCUGAAUGAUCUCAUAAUAGUCAGCAGAAGAUAUGCAGGAACAGCCCACUGGACAGGAUUUCCUUUACAUCUCAGCUCUAACGUAUCACCUGCUUGGACAGUCAGCGUGUUCCCCACUUUCUGGAACCUUCCCUUGUUUACCACCUGAGUGAGAGCGCACAGGGACCCGACUGCCACAACGUACUUUGCAGCAGCCCAGCCAAUGUAAGCAAAGGCCACAGGCAAAGGACUCUGAAUGCUAAGUCGGUAGUAUGGCAUCAUCAAAGUGAGAGCAGCCGAAACCCCAAAGUACGCCAAGAAA